rnacentral:lncRNA from 1 species
UUGCACCAAGUCUCCAAGAUCUUCCCAAAAUUUCUCCUUCGAACUCGUAUCCAACCCUACUUGAGGUGCGUACGCACUAAUCACAUUGAUAAGUUCUUGUCCUAUUACAAUCUUGAUUGCCAUGAUUCUAUCUCCUACCCUCUUGACAUCUACAACAUCUUGUACCAAGGUCUUGUCCACGAUGAUGCCAACACCGUUUCUCGUUCUAUUUGUGCCCGAAUACCAAAGUUUAAACCCUGAGUUUUCUAGAUCCUUUGCCUUACUACCAACCCACUUAGUUUCUUGUAGGCACAUAAUAUUUAUCCUUCUCCUCACCAUAACUUCCACUACUUCCAUAGAUUUUCCCGUUAAGGUUCCUAUAUUCCACGUUCCUAAACGCAUUUUGCUCUCUUGAACUCUACCCUUCUGUCCUAGCUUCUUCACAUUCCCCCGUCUAAUAGGAUCAAAGUACUUCUUUUGUGUGUCCCGGGUAAAGUUGAUAGGAGCAUAUGCUCCCAAACAACUUUGAGUGGAGUCGUUCGAAAAGAAGUUUCUAUGGCCCCCUUGCUCAUUUAACACUGCAUCCGGGUGCCGAUGGAGAUACAGCGACCCUUGCUCACUUAUCACUGUGCUCAGGCCACACAGCGCGCCACUUACGGGUGACGCCCUAGCUUUAGCGCGAUUUUGUUCUGGAUUCAUUUUCAUAAGGAUUCGACGUGAUCAUGGAGUGCCGGCUGUCGACUACCUGACGCCCUCCCCCUCCUCCUUUAUCCGGGCUUGGGACCGGCCAUGUAAGACAUAGGCGGAGUUCCAAAACAGCUCUCCAUUUCUUCUAUUUUGCUUCUGAAUCUUUUAAGUUUCGGUUUACUGUUCGAUCGUUUUGUGUUUUGGUUCAUCUGCUUAUUAAUUCAAAUCUUGUAUCGCCUGCGAGAUUGCUUUUGAUCCGUUCGAUUGAUGGGAAUGUGCCAGUUUCAUAUGCUAACCCCAGUCACAGGCAUAUGGAGAUAGCCAUUGCCAUGUUGGAAUUGAAUACUGUGGCCGAAAGAGGUGUUGGUGUUCAGGCACUGGACUUGUUGAUUCAUGUUUACUGCACCCAAUUCAAGAGUAUGGGUUUUGGUUACGCCGUUGAUAUGUUUAUGUGUUUUUCUGAUAAGGGCUUCUUUCCAUCGUUGAAGAUUUGUAAUUUUUUGUUGAGUUCGUUAGUGAAGGCUAGCGAACUUCAUAAGAGUUAUCAAGUAUUUGAAGUUAUGUCUCGAGGUGUUUCUCCUGAUGUUUACUUGUUUACUACUGCAAUUAAUGCAUUUUGUAAGGGAGGGAAGGUUGAUGAAGCGAUAGGUUUGCUCUCAAAAAUGGAAGGGUGGGGUAUUGCUCCAAAUGUUGUUACAUACAAUAAUGUUAUUCACGGGCUUUGUAAGAGCAGGAGAUUAGACGAAGCUUUCCAGUUCAAGAAGAAGAUGGUAGAAAACAAUGUGAACCCGAGUCUUAUAACGUACAGUGUGCUCAUUAAUGGUUUGAUCAAGCUGGAAAAGUUUUAUGAGGCAAAUUGUGUUUUGAAGGAAAUGUCCAAUAGGGGAUUUGUCCCGAAUGAGGUUGUCUAUAACACAUUGAUUGAUGGGUAUUGUAAAACGGGAAAUAUCAGUGAGGCACUAAAGAUAAUGGAUGAUAUGUUGUCCAAUGGAUUAACUCCCAAUUCUGUUACUCUUAAUUCUCUGCUGCAGGGAUAUUGUAAAACUAAUCAGUUGGAGCAUGCUGAGCAGAUUUUAGACAAGAUGCUGUCCCAUUGUUUAUCCAUAAAUCAAGCUGUUUGUUUCUCAGCUAUUCACUGGUUAUGCAUGAGAUCUAGGUUCAAUUCUGCGCUAAAGUUUACUAUAGAAAUGCUUUUAAGAAACUGUAGGCCUAGUGAUGGCUUGCUAACCACGUUGGUUUGUGGGCUUUGUAAAGAUGGAAAGCAUUCUGAGGCAGUUGAACUUUGGUUUAGGCUAUGUGAUCUAGGAUUUGCAGCCAACACUGCGACUUCAAAUGCCUUAAUUCAUGGACUUUGUGAAUCUGGUAGCACACAAGAUGUUGUUCUGCGACUGAAAACAAUGCUAGAGAGAGGUUUGGUAAUGGAUAAAAUCUCAUACAACACACUUAUCUCGGGUUGUUGCAAGGAGGGAAAAGUGGAGGAAGCUUUUAAGCUUAAAGAAGAGAUGACUAAGCAAGGAAUUGAACCAGAUACUUAUACUUAUAAUUUGUUAAUUCAUGGUCUAUGUAAUAGGGGAAAAGUGGACGAUGCACUUAAACUAUGGGAUGAGUGUGAAAAUCGGGGUCUGGCUCCCAAUGUCUAUACAUAUGGGGUGAUGAUAGAUGGGUACUGUAAAGCUGGCAGAGUGGAUGAGGGUGAAAACCUUUUCAGUAAGUUGGUGACUAAAAAAGUGGAGCUAAAUUCUGUUGUUUAUAAUACACUAAUCAGAGCAUACAGCAAAAAUGGGAAUAUGACUGCAGCCCUUGGUCUCCGCUUGGACAUGAAAAAGAAAGGCAUUCAACCAACUUGUGCCACGUAUUCUUCUCUUAUAGAUGGACUCUGCAAUAUUGGCAGUGUUGAGGAUGCAAAAUGCCUUCUAGAUGAAAUGAGGAAUGAGGGCUUGUUGCCAGAUGUUGUAUGUUAUACAGCACUAAUUCAUGGUUAUUUUAAGCUAGGACAAAUAUAUAAAGUAGGGAAUGUCUUGCUGGAGAUGUCUUCAUUUAACAUAAAACCGAAUAAGAUUACCUACACUGUCAUGAUUGAUGGGUACUGUAAACUAGGCAAUAUGGAAGAAGCAACUAGACUGCUAUCUGAGAUGACAAAAAUGGGAGUUGUCCCAGAUGCUGUCACCUAUAAUGCGUUAACAAAUGGAUUUUGUAAGGAAAGGAAGGUGGAAGAAGCUUUUGAAGUAUGUGAUCAUAUGGCCAGUAAAGGAGUAGCUUUAGAUGAAAUUACGUAUACAACAUUGGUUCAUGGGUUGCAUCAGCCCACUACAUGUACAAAUCAGGAAUGAUUGGAAACAUUCAAAAGGUUAGGUUUUUUCUUUUUUGCAUGAAGAAUUCUUCUGUUUCUGAACAGUUUUAUGAUAUUUAACUUGUGCACCAUGUUUGCGCACCAUGUUCUGAAGGUAAUAUGGUUCAUUCACAGGUGCAUAUUCCUAUUCUUAAAACUGAUGGCCGUAGACCAUGGGAUACAUCUCCUUAACGUCUCUAAAAUGAUUCUUGAACAUUUGGAGGUUGGUAGAUCUGUACAUUACUCAUUUUCUUUGCUUCAUAUUUUUAUGAAGAUUCUUUAAUUACUUCUAAUUCAAUAACUAUGUGGAGUUGAUAUAUGUUAUUGCAUCGUCACUAGUAGGGUGAAGGUAUAGCCAUGAUAUGACAUUGGUUCACUAGUAAAUUUAUUCCUGGGUUGGGAGUAAAAUAAAUAGCUGGCACAAUUGUUGCUUUCCCAUGUUCUUUUUUCGUCUUAUUAUUUUAGAAACAUCUUCCUUGUUUGGCUAACUUAUUAAAGAUUCUCACUGUUACAUGUGCUUGCAGAGUUUCAUCCGCUAGUAGUUAUUAAGUUACGUAUAAACUUAAACAUCAUGACAUAAUCACAUUUUAUGUUGUAACUCCUUUUAGCUCCCAAAUAUUACAGACUUCAAGACUUUGUGAUGAUUCAUAUUUUAAGUGCCUCUCCUUCCAUUAAGUUUACACAUGCUCAGACUUUUAGCAUCACUGCAUAAAGUGGCCUCUUUGAGAAAAAAUUACACUUGUGUGCUCACUUCCAUUGUUAACUGCUUAAGUACUAUUGAGCAGUGUGGCUGUAGUAUAUAUCCUUUAUUUCCCAUCUCAAUGGUUGAGCGCCAUUAGUAUUCCUAGUAGGGAUGUCCUAAUUCAUUAAUUCAAGAUGUCUGUAUCAAUUGACUGUUACUUACUCUAAUGGUGGUCACCAGUUGCAACCCUACUUCAUUUGAGUUCGGGACUGGCUAUGUUUACAAAAGAAAGUAAGAAAUCAGCUGUCUCAAAUUUGAAUCCUGUUUACUCUGUUGAUGAGGCACAUAGCUCGACCAGAUGGCCAUACCGAAUGAUUGAAACAUCAAGAGAUGUCAGACUAGGUAUUGCACUUUAGACCAUCUUAUCUUUCGAAGGUUUAUUGCAUGAGUUUAUUUUCCCCUCGAUAUAUAAUGUGGUUGAUGGAGGCUAGAGAACUUGUUCUGAGGUGAAUCACAGAAUAAACAAAAAAUUGCUACGAGGAUUGUGUUGCAUAAAGCCUGGGGAAGAGAUAUUUUAUAGAUAACUGUGGGCAAGCAAACCUGCUUCUAGCAAUUUUAUCAAUAAUAUUGUUUGCUUUCUAUUUUAUUGUUUUCAUUCCGCAAACCGCAGUUGCUGAAUUUGAUGAACAACAGUUGUGAUCAUUAUUUCGAGUUGUUAGUGGUUUUUUUUCUUUCUCCUUCCUGCUUCUGUUGAAUUCUGUUGUAUUACGCAGAACCAUUUAAAUUUUCUUUUCUUUCGUUUUCAAUCAGAAUUUCCUGGAUUCCUGACCUAGCAAUUCCUCAGCCGAUCUUUGGAGCUAGUAUUGAGGUUUACAAGGUCACGCUUCAAAUAUGAGGUUAGAAGUUGUUUAUCAAAAAGUCAUGCUUGGAUAUAACAGAACUGAUAUUUUGCUCAACUCCUUUUUAUAUUUAAGUUCUCUUUUCCUUUCCCAGAAUUUAGGAUUUGAUGAUAUCAACAGAGACUAGAUAUCCUGAGUGACGCUAAGUUUAUGACAUAACAAGUUUGAUUGAUUAACUUGUCAUUUUUGUUUGGCUUUCAGCCGUAUAAACUACGGACCGUACCAUACUGACCAAAUUACUGAAGGUUACUUGGGGGUGAUUGUUGAUUUGGCUAUGGCUAUUACCGAAAUGAAAGAUGUACUUUGAAUACGUCUGUAUAGUAAUAACAUUGAUCAUGGAUUGCUAAUUUAGGCCUAAUUUCAUAGCUCGUCUAUUAUUUUAUUUUCGUAGUUGGCAUUCCACCUUUCUGUUUCUUGUUGGCUUAAUGGAGCUAUAUCAUUACUAGCUGUGAAUCAUGCCAUGGAUGGCUAAUAUUGUGAAGAGAAAUUAGAUUUAAAGUCUCACAAUCCAAAUGUAACUUUGCAGAACUUAAAUGACAUUUGCAACAGACCUCCCAAAUGCUCCUGCCUGCUCCAGAUGCUUGCUGUCGUCUGGAAGUCAUGAGAUUUACAACUCCCUGCAGGAUGCGAUGCCUGUGUUCUAUUGUUGUGCGAUCUUUCGAGGAGAGGAUGGCUUUUCCAGCGCGGAUUAUGUGAAUUUUCACGCAACUGAUUGACCGGGGUUUGUUUGGGUAAAAACCAGUUCCCUGCGUUUUUCCAAGGCAAUUCAUGGAAAGGCUGUUGGAAUGCAAGAAAGAAAUUCAUCUAUGCGUUUCCUUUCUGGUGGAGACGCGAUGUAUCCGUGUUAUGAAAAUUGUUAUUUCCCAUUCAUAUUUGUAGUGCUUCGUUCAUAGAGAACAUGAAGAAAAGAGUGCUGACAAAAUAAUAAUAAUAAUAAUAAUGAUGAACAUAAGAAAAGUUCAACAAGGAAUGCGGAUGGUAUGACUUCUGAUUAAUGAAGGGACCUGUCCAUAAAUAAAUACAUAAAAAAAACAAUAGUCAAUGAAAGUAAUAAGGGUAAAUUACAAAAAACUAUCUCAACUAUUGGGUCCAAGGUAUUAAAUAUCGAUGAUAUCGGAAAUAUCGGUAGUCCGAAAACACGGAAAUAUUGAUGGAAAUAUCGGGAUAAUAUCGAUAUCGAUAAAAAUUAUAUGGAAACCACGGAAAUUGUAAGAAAAACUUGGAAAUUUUUAUUGAAACUUUGCAGGAUGUUUAUUUAGUCAAUUAUCUAUUAAUUUAUCACAAAAAAUUGGAAGGAAAUGCAUUGCAUGAUGGAUUUAACUUAUUUAAGUUGAUUAUAUAGCGAGCUGGCAAACAUUGUGAGUGUAGAAAAUAUGUAGUAAUUAAUGAAAGAAGUUUAAACACACCAUAAUUAUUUAUAUAUAAUGAAUUAGUAUAAUAUUUUACAUUUUAUUCGUCCUAUAAAUUAUUUGCAUGUUUUUUUUUUUCACAUUACACGCCACGCCACCACACACACACACAGAGAUAAAUUUUUUCACAUUACACUCUUACACACGCCACCACACAUGCACACAGAGUUCAAGAGAACCCACACCACACACGCACACCAAGAGCUCUCAGUCAAUCCCUCUCUCUUCUCCUUUCAGUCUUCUUGAAUCCCCCAUCUCCCCCCCCCCCCCCCCCCCCCCCUCCCCCCCCCCCCCCCAACAAUCUCUUCUCCGCUGCGCCCCCCCACACUUCGAAUCUUCAGAUCCCCCCCCACCCUUCGAAUCUUCAGAUCUCUCCCCCCCCAACCCUUCGAAUCUUCAAUCGCCGCGGAUCUCCCCCCCCCCAACCCUUCAAAACUUCAAUCGCCGCAGCCCCUGGAAAUGGAAAAACGAAGGGCGAAUUGUGUUAUGGUUUUUGUUUUCAUUUGUAUAUUUUCCCUUUUUUAUUGGUAAGAUUUGUUCAAACCUCAUCCUGCCAUUGAUUUUCAUAACUGCUUCCCAGAGCCUCCCCAAUUUCUUCCCCGCAGAAGCCCUCUCCUUCCCUUCCGACGACGGAGCCUCGGAGUUUGGCGAUAUUAUCGGUAAUAUCAAUAAUAUCGCGAUAUUUUGACGAUAAAUGACUGGAUAUGUGUAAAAAUAUCGCUCUCUGUAAAAAACGAUAUUAUCGGCGAUAUUUCGCCGAUAAUAUCGAUAUUUUGUUCAUUGAUUGGGUCAACCACAGUUUCAUACCUCAUCUUUAAAACAUUUCAAUGUCAUACCUUAUCUUCGAAUUUGUUGCAAUGUGAUACCUUUGUCUAUUAAUUCCUCUGUUAAAUGUUGACGUGGCUUGAGGCAUGAUCCACUUUCUAUUAAAAAAUUAAUUAAAUAUUAAAAAAAAUUAAAAUACAAUUAUUUAAAUAUUUUUAUAAAAAUAAUGUGGGACCCACCCACCUUCUUCCUAUCCUAGUCGUCUCCCCCACCUUUCCUCCCUUCCCUCAAAACUAGAAUCCCAUCGUGACUCUCCCUCGCUCUCAUCCUCACUACUCAAUCAUCUUUUCCACCUAGCCACCCAACCAUCUACACUCUGAUCAAGCCAUUCCCCUCCAUGACCGUCCUCCCCUAUGCCCCCCUCCACUGCUGCACUUGCCACUCCGUCCUCAACCCAUUCUCCACCGUCGAUUACACAGUCAAGAUUUGGAUUUACCCUUUCUGCUUCACUCACAACCACUUCCCUCCCCACUACACCUCCAUCUCCGACGAGAAGCUCCCUUCCACCAUCUGAUGGCCAUACUCUUUUUCGAUGGUGUGGACUAACACAGCAGACACCACGAUGUCUAAGUACCCGUCCCCGAACAACAAUCUCCUGGGGUCGCCCUCGCGUCAAGUCACGUACUCCCCCACACCUUCAAUCUUCGCCGUUUGCAGCGUUGACUAGAGACUCGUUAUCUUGGACCGAUCCAGGCCCAUAACCCGACCCGAACUCCCAUCUUUCUUCAUUUGGGUCGCCACAACGUUUAAGAGUAUGCCGCGACCGCUGCCGACUUCGAGGGCGUGCUUGACGUUAAACCAUUCGUUGACUGAGCCGACCAUGUGCUGGGCGACAUUGUAGUGGAGGGGGAGUGAGGAGUAUAGGAAGUGUCCGGAUGUGAAGAAGAGGCAAAGGGAGGAAAGGGCGGUGACAGAGCCAGUGAACUCUGCGACAAAACAAGCAGUGUCGAUGAGGAGGAGGAGGAGGAAGAAGAGGGUGACGAGGUUGAAAUAAGUGAGGUAGAAGAGUGACAGAGCGGUAAAUAAGACAUCGUUGAAGAGAAGGAAGAGAAUGGUGUGCAACUGGUUGAGACCGUAGAUUGCGUAGAUCUGAUGGUUUCCCCAUCUUCCUCUCUCUGAACAUGUUUCUAGAAGGCAUCAAAUCUCCAAGACUUUAAACAAAUUCGAAGAAGGUGGAUAGGGAAUGAAGGUUGGGGGUUAAGGACACGGGUGGAUGGGGAAUAAGCUGGUUCUGGUUUUGGACUGAAGGGAGGAAGAGUGGGGGGAGAUGGGUGGGAUAGGAAGAAGGUGGGUGGGUCCCACAUUAUUUUUAUAAAAAUAUUUAAAUAAAAAUAUUUUAAUUUUUUUAAUAUUUAAUUAAUUUUUUUAAUAGAAAGUGGGUCCCGUCUCAAGCCAUGUCAACAUUUAAUAGAGCAAUUGACAGACAAACUGACGGAAGGUACGACAUUGCAACAAAUUUAAAGAUAAGGUAUGACAUUGAAAUGUUUUAAAGAUGGGGUAUGAAACUGUGGUUGACCCAAUAGUUGAGGUAGUUUUUUGUAAUUCGAAAACUAAGUAGUUUGAAUUGAAAUGAAUUCAGAGCUCAGUUGUUGACAACAUGCUAGUUUGAUGUGCCAAGAGUCGAGUUGGUAGAAGGAGAAUUGGACAAAGUCCCCAACCAAGGUGGUGGCAACAUGCCAGUUUGCUCAUUAACUGUCGUGAACAACGAUGGCAAUGUCUUGUAAACACUCGCAAUCUCUUUGAAAGCCCCAUUGGCACCGUCAUCACUGCCCUUUGCGCCACUAGUAGUCUAACUGCUAAUCUUGGGCUGAAGACUGCACACGGCGUCAGCAUUGAUCUGGGCAACUUGUUGAAACAUGCCAUUGUUGAUCACCAAGAAGUCCCUCACAGCUGCAUAGUUGCCUCUAACUGCGUCCAAAAGAGAGCGUGGAUAUGCGCCUUGGGCUUGUCCAAGGGCCAUGAGUCCUUCAACCUCUCUUUUCUUUGCAUAACAUUAUGCAUCAGCAGCUUGUUGACGAGCAUAGAGUCCUGCCUCGAUCAUUUUUUACUUUGCAUAAAAGUCUCAAUCAACGACUUGUUAUUUGAAAAUACAACCCUGAUGGAUCAACUAUUUCAUAUAGGUAGAGCACUAGUUUACAUAAUUUUUCAUCUGUAUUCAUGCGUGCAAAACCAAUGCAUGCAUAUAUGUAUUCUAUAUAAUAUUUAAGAAGGAAAAAGAAAGAAGCACAAGACGUACCUUGGUUUCAUACUCAACAUUGGCCUCAGUCAAUAACUCACCCUUAAACUUCUCCAUUCUAGUCAAGGCAUUUAUCUUCUCCACCUCUUUUUGCAACUCUGCCUCUCUCGAUGCCAUCGCAUUUUCAGCCUCUACCUCAGCCACAUGCGCCUCUUCAUAUUCUUCCUUAUCGGCUCAGCAUCGGCUUCUGCUAUCUCAGCCUCCCUUAUAUUCUCAAACACCUUCACCUACAUCCUAGUCUUAAUCUCCUCCAUCUUCCUCUCUCCCUCCCUAUGCAUCAUAAAAAUCUUCGUUUCUGCAUCAAUCUAUGUUGCGUUCUACAACGUCAACCCCUGCCUCUCUUUCGACCCUAUAUACUCCCAUUUCUUCUUUGUUUCUGCCACGUCAACCCUAGCCUGAUUCGCCGCCUUCAUCUGUAUCUUCUACCCCACAACAACAACAACAAUAACAAAGCCUUUUCCCACUAAGUGGGGUCGGCUAUAUGAAUCCUAGAAUGCCAUUAUGCUCGAUCCUGUGUCAUGUCCUCCGUUAGAUCUAAGUACUCUAAGUCUUUUCUUAGAGUCUCUUCCAAAGUUUUCCUAGGUCUUCCUCUACCCCUUCGGCCCUGAACCUCUAUCCCGUAGUCGCAUCUUCUAACCGGAGCGUCAGUAGGCCUUCUUUGCACAUGUCCAAACCACCGUAACCGAUUUUCUCUCAGCUUUCCUUCAAUUUCGGCUACUCUUACUUUACAUCGGAUAUCCUCAUUCCUAAUCUUAUCCUUUCUCGUGUGCCCACACAUCCAACGAAGCAUCCUCAUCUCCGCUACACCUAUUUUAUGUAUGUGUUGAUGCUUCACCGCCCAACAUUCUAUGCCAUACAGCAUCGCCGGCCUUAUUGCCGUCCUAUAAAUUUUCCCUUGAGCUUCAGUGGCAUACGGCGGUCACACAACACGCCGGAUGCACUCUUCCACUUCAUCCAUCCAGCUUGUAUUCUAUGGUUGAGAUCUCCACUAUAUCGUCUACGAAAAGCAUACACCAAGGAAUAUCAUCUUGAAUAUGUCCUGUUAACUCAUCCAUUACCAACGCAAAAAGGUAAGGACUUAAGGAUGAGCCUUGAUGUAAUCCUACAGUUAUGGGGAAGCUUUCGGUUUGUCCUUCAUGAGUUCUUGCGGCAGUCUUUGCUCCUUCAUACAUAUCCUUUAUAGCUUGGAUAUAUGCUACUCGUACUCCUUUCUUCUCUAAAAUCCUCCAAAGAAUGUCUCUUGGGACCUUAUCAUACCCUUUUUCCAAAUCUAUAAAGACCAUGUGUAAAUCCUUUUUCCCAUCUCUAUAUCUUUCCAUCAAUCUUCGUAAGAGAUAGAUUGCCUCCAUGGUUGAGCGCCUUGGCAUGAACUUGAAUUGGUUGUCCGAAACCAGUGUCUCUUGCCUCAAUCUAUGCUCAAUGACUCUCUCCCAGAGCUUCAUUGUAUGACUCAUUAGCUUAAUACCCCUAUAGUUCAUGCAAUUUUGUACGUCGCCCUUAUUCUUGUAGAUAAGCACCAAAGUGCUCUUUCGCCACUCAUUUGGCAUCUUCUUCGUUUUCAAAAUCCUAUUGAAAAGGUCAGUGAGCCAUGCUAUACCUGUCUCUCCCAAGACUUUCCACACUUCGAUCGGUAUAUCAUCUGGGCCCACUGCUCUUCUAUGCUUCAUCUUCUUCAAAGCUACAACCACUUCUUCCUUCCUAAUUCGACGGUAAAAGAAGUAGUUUCUACACUCUUCUGAGUUACUCAACUCCCCUAAAGAAGUACUCCUUUUAUGUCCUUCAUUGAAAAGAUUAUGAAAACAACCUCUUCAUCUGUCUUUGACCGCGUUCUCUGUAGCAAGAACCUUUCCAUCCUCAUCCUUGAUGCACCUCACUUGGUUUAGGUCCCUUGUCUUCUUUUCCCUUGCUUUAGCUAGUUUAUAGAUAUCCAACUCUCCUUCUUUGGUAUCUAGUCGCUUAAAUAUAUAUCUUCGUAAGCCGCUAACUUAGCUUCUCUCACAGCUUUCUUCGCCUCUUGCUUCGCUCUUCUAUACCUUUCACCAUUUUCAUCGGUCCUAUCCUUGUAUAAGGCUUUACAACAUUCCUUCUUAGCCUUCACCUUUGUUUGUACCUCCUCAUUCCACCACCAAGAUUCCUUUUGGUGUGGAGCAAAGCCCUUGGACUCUCAUAAUACCUCUUUUGCUACUUUUCGAAUACAACUAGCCAUGGAAUCCCACCUUUGGCUAGCUUCCCCCUCUCUAUCCCACACGCACUGGGUGAUUACUUUCUCUUUGAAAAUGGCUUGUUUUUCUCCUUUUAGAUUCCACUAUCUAGUCCUUUGGCACUUCCAAGUCUUGUUCUUUUUUCUCACUCUUUUGAUAUGUACAUCCAUCACCAACAAGCGAUGUUGAUUAGCCAAGCUCUCUCUCGGUAUAACUUUGCAAUCCUUACAAGUUAUACGAUCCCCUUUCCUCAUUAGAAGAAAAUCUAUUUGUGUUUUUGACGACCCACUCUUGUAGGUGAUCACAUGUUCUUCUCUCUUCUUAAAGAAGGUGAUGGCUAAGAAGAGAUCGUAUGCCAUUGCAAAAUCCAAGAUAGCUUCCCCAUCCUCGUUUCUCUCCCUAAAACCAUGGCCACCAUGAAAACCUCCAUAGUUGCCUGUCUUUUUGGCCACGUGUCCAUUUAAAUCUCCUCCUAUAAAUAACUUCUCUGUCUGAGCAAUUCCUUGCACCAAGUCUCCAAGGUCUUCUCAAAAUUUCUCCUUCGAACUUGUAUCCAACCCUACUUGAGGUGCGUACGCACUAAUCACAUUGAUGAGUUCUUGUCAUAUUACAAUCUUGAUUGCCAUGAUUCUAUCUCCUACCCUCUUGACACCUACAACAUCUUGUGUCAAGGUCUUGUCCACGAUGAUGCCAACACCGUUUCUCGUUUUAUUUGUGCCCGAAUACCAAAGUUUAAACCCUGAGUUUUCUAGAUCCUUUGCCUUA